UUUUUUUCUCAACACUGUCCGAGAGCAAUCAGCCUCCUGAAGAGAACUCACUUUCUUGUACCAUCUGAUAUUUGCCCUUUCCAAUUCCCUAUUUCCCUGCUAUAUUUUUCCCGACACUUCUGCUAUUUUCUCAUGAUGUUUUCAUGAGAAAACUUUUUUUUUUUUUUUUUGACAACAUUAAAGUUCUUUUUCACGUCAAGGAUCAACAGAGUUCCCAGGUAUCACUCCUGCUAAAAAUAGGGACAAACUGAUGCUAUGGAAGUGUUGUUAUUUUUUGUAGUCAGCGUGGAUCCAAUUGGGAAGAUUUCUUCAGCUUUGAAGUUCCAGAGUGACUCAUGAGUGUUAAGAUAACAGACAACUCAAAGGACAGGAGGAAUAAACCUGAACAGACAGGACAAGAUGUACAGAGAGAAAUUAAUUGGAAUAAAAUGCAGCACUUCUUUUCUUACAUCACUGCCUCUGUGGGGCUGCUGACACCACUAGACUGGAAGGAUUCUGCUCAGUCACUGAAGCCAACUAAUGGGAUUCUGCCUGCUGAAAUGAAGCAGAACAUCACUACCAACAGACAGACCGAAGAAGAUGAAAGCUUGCAAAGAAAACUUAUUGCCUCUGGAGGAAAUGCAGCAGCUCAAUUGCAGUAAUCUUCCUUGGUUUUGAAGCACACCCAGGCUGUGCUAUAUCUUCACAUCUUCAGGAUGGAAGCUGCUGCCCAUGGUACUGUGCAGAGGAAUCACAGGAGACUACAGUGCUCCACCUCUGCAGGAAGCAGGCAGCAGUUUCCAAAAGCCAUAAUGUCCUACAACACAGAAAGGUUUUUACUUGUGCUUUGGGUGAAUAUUCAGAGAAAAUAAACAUUCAUCACAGACCUUCAGACUCCAUCUGAUGCAAAUCAACACUUCCUGAAAAAUCAAACGGUCCAAAGCCUUUGACUUCCAGAUAAAUCAGCUCAGAGGCCAGCAGAUGAAUCAACUUACAUGCUCAGAUAAGUUUCUACCCCAAACAAUUUAUAGAGAGCUUAUGAAUAUAUUACUGUUUUCCAUAGUGUAUGGAACUGUUAGAAAUAAUUAACAUGUCUGUCUGAAUUUCUAUUUUUGGUUGCAUAGUGAAUGAAAAAUAGCAGACCUGAUGACAGAAUUACUGAAACAAGUAGGGAACCUAUCUUUCUGUGGUGCCUUGUUGCCUGUUUUGUUUAGUUACCUGGGGUUUAUACUUAGAUUUGACUAGGACGUAUUAAAUACCAGGAGGUAUUUAAAGAGCACCAGAACGGUUGUACAGUUUUGCAAUACUUUUCCAUGUCAAUUAAAACUUGUAACUGACUCUUGGUUUUCUUCCAUUUCUGUCCAAGACACAUCCAUUUUUGAUUGAUUUUGCUAUCUUCCUAAGCAUUCUCUUUUUGAUCUUUCUUUGUAGCUGACUGAAUACUAAUGUUUGAAUUGAUAUUCAUUCAUUACCUUCAUCUACUUGAUAUUGCCUUAUUUUCCUAUGGUUCUGUGAAGGAAUAGGUCCAGCCACACUACUGAUUUUUUCUGGAUAGGAGAGAAAGGUUUUCUAGUGCUUACUUGAGUCGAGCAGCAUUUUUUUUUUUUCCCACCUGAACAUUCCCAGUAGACCAGUCCACACAUAACCAAUGUGAUACUCAUCCAGUGAUGAGCAAUGUAAGAGAUUACUUCAAGAUGUGAAAUCAUGUUUGUUUAUGUUCUUCAGCUUCACGAAGUUUACAUUCUUUACUACUUUUACACAAAACUUUCUGCAAAAGUUCUAAAGUGUAUAUAAAAAUCCCUGAAAAAAUUCUGGCCUCCAGAAAGCCAGUGAGAGCCACAGAAAUAAAGAGUACUGUUCAC
ensembl:lncRNA